ensembl:lncRNA novel transcript
GGAUACAAGCCAUUUUAACUGCGGUGAGAUGAUAUUUCACUGUAGUUUUGAUUUGCAUUUGUGUGAUGAUCAAUGAUAUUGUGCAUGUUUUCAUAUGCCUACUAGCCUCAUAGAAUGAGUUUGGAAGUAUUCUUUCCCCCUCCAUUUUUUGAAACAGUUUGAGUAGUAUUGCUAUUAUUUCUUUAACUGUUUAGUAGAAUUCAGCAGUCAAGCCAUUGGGUCCCAGGCUUUUCUUUACUGGGAACAUUUUUAUUUCAGCUUCAAUUUCUUCACUUGUUAGUCUGUUCAGGCUUUGGAUUUCUUCCUGGUUCAAUCUCGGUAAGACUUGCCUUGCUUCCCCUUUACCUUCCACCAUGAUUGUAAGUUUCCUGAGGCUCUCCAACCCAUACGGAACAAUACUUCCUGCCUUGAACAUCAGACUCCAAGUUCUUCAGCUUUUGGACUCUUGGACUUAAACCAAUGGUUUGCCAGGGGCUCUUGGGCCUUUGGCCACAGACUGAAGGCUGCACUGUCAGUUUCCCUACUUUUGAGGUUUUGAGACUUGGACUGGCCUCCUUGCUCCUCAGCUUGCUGACAGCCUAUUGUGGGACUUCACCUUGUGAUCCUGUCAGUCAAAACUGAAGAUCAGCUUUUGAUCAUGAGGAGAUUAGGUCACAGAUGUUCAAUAAGGAAAGACCAUGUGAAGACACAAGAAGAUGGUCAUCUGCAAGCCAAGAGAAAUGUCUCAAAAGGAACUGGCCCUGCUGACAUCUUGACCUUGAAUUUCCAGCCUCAGGUUCUUGGAUGCUUGAUGGAAUUAAGGAUUUGAGAACAUGAGAACAAACAGGAAUAUGCAGGAAAUCUUGAGGACACAGGAGAUGAAGUCAACCUGUGGCCAAGGGAGAGGGAGGGACAUGAGAAGCUUUGUGAAAGAUGUCAGCGCAAACCUCAGGCAAGUGCCACCCAACCUAGAGCUGUGGAUUGAAGUUUGGCGUUGGGGUGUCAGCCUGUGAUUUCCUGAUCUCCAACUCCACUCCUCUUAAGUCACCCAGCCUAAGGCACUGAACCUCAUCAUCAGAACCUCAGAGUCCAACAUCUUGACCAUAGCCUUGCAACCCCACUGUUAGGUGAGUUUCAAGUUCUCACUCCCCAUAAACUUCUUCAGACCACUGCUCCCUCGAAUGACUUUGUUUCCUCCCAGGUCAUCAGUUUCCUUAGUCAAUUUCCAAGUCCUAUCAGUUGUAGACACUACGAUUGGUCAUCCCAUCUGAGUGACUAUUUCACUUAAACUUGCCUUUCCUCCUCUGUUUGCAAUAACUCUCAUACAUAGCUCUAGCUUAACAUCCACGUUGCCUUCUCUAUUCUUACCUCCAGGACAGCAGAACACUAAACAUUAAGUUCUUCAAUGCUAAAAAACAUCCUGUAAUCACGAAAAUCAGCCCAGUACAAAUUCAUGCUCACUACACGUGGUUCUCAGCUGCUGUGGGGCCUCUCUCUUCCCUUCAGUAUCCACAGACUUGCAACGUUCUUCUCAGCCUUCCUUCGCACCACUAAAUUAUCUCAUUAAGUCAGGACCAUCUGGUGGGAACUCCUUUAACUUCCCAGGGCCCAGGAAAAAUAAACCAUAUUUACCCAUGCCUCCCUCUUUCUCCAUGUGCCUUUUCAAGAAGAGAGGCUCUUCUCCCAGUGUCUCUCUCCCUGAUUCCAUAUCACCCUCUCUUCUUUGGGAUACUUCUCCAAAGAGUGUGGUCUUUCAGGUAUCCUUACUGUCUUAUGACUGAGUCAUUCCACUUGGCUUAUGAACCUCUUUGUUGCUUAUUCCAGGCACUCUGAGUCUCCCCUGCAUUCAGUCUCCCUUCAGCAUACAACACUGUUCAUGAUGCUUUUUGUAAAGCCCUCUGCUUCCCCAUCCUCCUUAGAUCUUCUGCUACUACUCUGGCCAGUUUUUUCUCUGUCUGCUGCUUCUCCUUCCCUUGACCUAUUACUUCCUUCCUCCUCCUGAAGAAAUCUGAUCUGCAGCUCCUCUUCUGUUUUCAUCAGUGUGCUCACUCUUGAUGCUGCUGCUCCUGCAGCUACUGCCAAGUCUCACUUGAUAGACAGUACCCACUCCAUAUGGGGCAAGAAUAAAAAUCACCAAAAAUAGACAGUUAUAAACAAAUGUCCCUGCCCAUAAGAUUUAUGUAAUCGUACUUUAUCCAUGUGUUAUAUUGCUAAGGACAUGGUGACUGUGACAGAUGUAACAUAAUAGAUGCAAUUGACAUAUACAGUAUUUCUUAUAGCUAAACUACAGCUAAGUUAUUAUAUUUGAAAAAUAAUAUAUGAGACACAUCAAUAAUUGGUUUCAUUGUUAAAAAUAUACACACAAAGCAUCUUAAAAU